CCUUCCCCCCCACCAUCCCCAUCCCCAAACCCUCCCCAGGCGGACAUCGCCACCGCGGCCCCGGCAGCGGGAGAUGGAAGGCGGCGGGCAGCGAGCGGGGAGCGGUGCGCGGUACCGGGAGCGGUGCGCGGUAACGGAGAGCUGCGUACGGCAACGGGAGAAACCGUGCGCGGUAACGGGACGGCUAAGAACGAUAACGGAAGGGAACGGUGCACGGUUAUGGAGAGUUAAGCACGCGGAGCGCACCGAGGCCGGGAGAAACCGGGACGGAGCAGCGCGGGAGCAGCGCACGGCGGUCGGUAAUGGUGCGUGCACGGCCGCGGGGUGGAAAACGGGAGAGAAUUGUUUCGGCUAAAAAAUAUAUCUAUACAUAAUAAUAACAAUUGAAUAUAUAAAUAUUAAAGAUUAAAAAAUAUAUAUUUCCGAGCUCCGAGCCUCUGGUGCUCUCAGCACAGCGAUGGCUCUGAGCCCAGCGCCGCUCCGGUGAUGCCCCGUGCGGUGCCGCCCCGCUGCUCGCGUGCAGAUUCCGGCGGGACAAUCAAUGGUGCAAACCAGCGUGGGUUAAUUAAGGAGAUUUUAAUACCCCGCGCAUCCCGACCCGCGCCUUUGUCCGCACCCGGGACGGCACGGAGACAAAGGGCGGUGGGGGGGCGCGGGGCCGCGCUUUGUUGGGGCCGAACCGGGCCGGCCUCGAGCUCCCUCUGCGCCCGCGGGGAACAAAGGAGAGCCGGGAGCGGAGCGCCCGGCCCGGAUCGGAGCGUACAGUCUCCUUUGUCCGCGGCUCCGCCCGGCUCUGCUCGGCCCUGGAGCCAUGCGGGGCUCUGCUGCACCGCACCGCGGGCACCCAUGGGCUGCGUGCUGCCGUGCGGGGCUGUGCGCGGCAGCAGCCCCAAAAAUGGGGCCGGUGUUGGGGUGCAGCGAGGCAGCCGCGUUGGCACCCAGCUCUACUGGCACCUGCCCCCUUCCCAGAGCUUAAUUCCAGCGCAGCAUCCCCGCUGUGUCCCGCUCUGCUCGAGCCCGUUCGCAGCAGAAGAAGCCUGCUUUGUGGCUUUUGCCAUUUCUCCCCACACUCUCGCAUUCCCUCCGAGGGCUGCGCACGGGACUGGCGUCGCUGCACUGGGAGCGUGUGUGUGCAUAAGAUCUGUGAGCCGUGAAAUAACCACGGCGCUGCCCACCUCGCCCUGCUUGGCUCCGGCUGCACCCCCGGUGCCCUGCAGUGCCGUGCUCCAUGCACACGGCUGCCGCUGUGUCACCAGCCUGGGGACAUCACCUCCAAAGGGACCUGGUGCCGAGCCCCUGUGCGGGCUCCCCGUGGCUCUGCGGACUCCUCUGGCUCAGCACAAGCGGGCCCGGCCCAGCUCUGAGUUCUGCUAA
rnacentral:lncRNA from 1 species